rnacentral:lncRNA from 1 species
UGGGCAAUGGCGGGCGCCCCUCCCCCCGCCUCGCUGCCGCCUUGCAGUUUGAUCUCAGACUGCUGUGCUAGCAAUCAGCGAGACUCCGUGGGCGUAGGACCCUCCGAGCCAGAGAUGGGAUCUUACUACAUUGCCCAGGCUGAAGUGCAGUGGCUAUUAACAGCUGUAAUCAUAAUGCAUUGCAGCUUUGAAUUCCUGGGCUUGAGCGACCUCCCCACCUUAGCCUCCUGAGUAGCUGAGACUACAGAUGUGCCUUGCUUCUCCUUCAUUUUCUGCCAUGACUGUAAGUUCCCUGAGGCCUUCCCAUCCAUGUGGAACUGCAUUCUAAUAUAUGCAUUCUUCAUAACAACUGUGUGAAACAUAUUAAUAUCCUCAUUGUUAACGAUGAAGAAACUAAAUCUCAGGAAGAAAAACUAAGUGAAGACAAAAGAAGGAUUUGAACUGAGAUUAUUCUGGGAGAUUCUGGGAGUCUUUUCUCCAACACUCCAGUGGCAUCUGACUAUGUGAGCUGAUAAGAUCUAUAGAUCUUCUCAGGUAUGUCUUCAUCAGCAGCAUGAAAAUAGACUAAUACAGUAAAUUGGUAUCAGUAGAAUGGGGUGCUGUGGAAAAGAUACCUGAAAAUGUGGAAGCAACAUUGGAACUGGGUAACAGGCAGAGGUUGGAACAGUUUGGAGGAUUCAGAAGAAGAGAGGAAAAUGUGG